rnacentral:rRNA from 1 species
UCAGCAUACGCGGUUAUACAAUAAAUGACACUUAAUAUUAUUGGUUAAAUGUAGUUAAAAUUUUAUAGAAGUUAAUUUUUAAUUUUUAAGGUGAAAUUUAAAUUUAAAUUAUUUUUGUUUUGAUUCUUACUAAAUAUAAAUUUUAAACUAGGAUUAGAUACCCUAUUAUUUUAUAUAUAAAUUUUUACCUGGGUAAUAAUAGUUAUUUUCUUUAAACCUAAAGAAUUUGGCGGUGUUUUAGUCUAUUCAGAGGAAUCUGUCCCAUUAUCGAUAGUCCACGUUUUAUCUUACUUUAUUUUGUUUUCAGUUUGUAUACCGCCGUUAUAAGUUUAUUUUAUUAGAAUAAUUAAUUUUCUUAAAAUUAAAUUUUAUUUUAUUUCA